rnacentral:rRNA from 1 species
UACGAAGGGGCUAGCGUUGCUCGGAAUCACUGGGCGUAAAGCGCACGUAGGCCGUUUGCUAAGUCAGGGGUGAAUCCUGGAGCUCAACUCCAGAACUGCCUUGAUACUGGCGGACUCGAGUCCGGGAGAGGUGAGUGGAACUGCGAGUGUAGAGGUGAAAUUCGUAGAUAUUCGCAAGAACACCAGUGGCGAAGGCGGCUCGACUGGCCC